rnacentral:rRNA from 1 species
AUGGCCGUUCUUAGUUGGUGGGUUGCCUUGUCAGGUUGAUUCCGGUAACGAACGAGACCUCAGCCUGCUAAAUAGUCACGGCUGCAUCCGCAGCUGGCAAACUUCUUAGAGGGACUGUUGGCGACUAGCCAACGGAAGUAUGAGGCAAUAACAGGUCUGUGAUGCCCUUAGAUGUUCUGGGCCGCACGCGCGCUACACUGAUACGUUCAACAAGUUCCUUGGCUCGAAAGGUCAUGGGUAAUCUUUGAAACCGUAUCGUGAUGGGGAUAGAACAUUGCAACUAUUGUUAUUCNNCAAGGAAUGCCUAGUAAUCGCGAGUCAUCAUCUCGCGUUGAUUACGUCCCUGCCCUUUGUACACACCGCCCGUCGCUCCUACCGAUUGGAUGUGCUGGUGAAGACUUCGGAUCGGCCACGCUAACUAGGUCUUCCUAGUUGUGGGGUUNAGAAGUUGUUUAAA